rnacentral:lncRNA from 1 species
CUGAGUCAGAAGAGAAAUAAUCUGAUUGGCCUAUCCUGAGUCAAGUGGGCAUCUCUGGUCCAAUCAGCUCUGUGCAGGGAGGCAGAGCUCCUCAUAGCAGCGCUCUUAAUUGCAAGCAAUGGAAACUGAUUUGAGCAAAAAAGAAAUUUAUCAAAAGGAUAUCGACUGGAUCACAGACUUUUCAGGCUUGGAAAACAGACAGAGACAGGACAGGACAAACAGCUAGAACCACAGCCACAAUCACAUCACAGAAAUGAUUUUGUAAGGAUUCUGCUGCCAAAGGCUGGACUGGGCAAUUUGCACCCCUAUCAAGGGUAGCACUGCAUGCGGACCCUGCAGCCACCAUUUCCCUGGGCAUAGAAUAUGGCCACCACCACCAGAAUGGAUUCUCUUGUCCCUGCUUAUUUGUAUCAUGAGCUGCAGAGGCUGAGCCCACCUCAUGUCCAUGCACCCUCAUUGCCAUCGGGCGAUGGGACAAACGGGACAUGAGUACUGGCCUUUUCAGCUUUGUACUAGAAGGUGGGCCCACCUUUCGUUGGGCCCCAUGUAGUGGAAAGUUCUCUAAACAUAGAAAAGGGUACAGAUGCUUGAUCCCACCAAAAGCGUCAUGUGGUACCAACCAUCUCGACCGUGAGGGCCAACUGCUCUGGGUGGACAGUUCUUGAAGAAGGGACUGUGGGCUGGAUAGGUGCCCAAAGAGUGUCCGUGACAGUUACCUCUCCCCAAAGAUUCUACCCAGCUCAUGUGCCUUCUAUGAAAUCUUUCCUCCUCCCAAUCCAUCCCAUCCUGGCUCUUUUCCACUUAGAACUUGCAUAGGAGGGCUGGACGUAGUGGCUCACACCUGUAAUCCUAGCACUUUGGGAGGCCGAGGCGGGCAGAUCACUUGAGGUCAGCAGUUCAAAACCAGCCUGGCCAACAUGCUGAAACCCUGUCUCUACCAAAAAUAUUUUUAAAAUUAGCCAGUUGUGGCCGGGCACGGUGGCUCACACCUGUAAUCCCAACACUUUGGGAGGCUGAGGCAGGCGGCUCACAAGGUCAGGAGAUCGAGACCAGCCUGGCUAACACGGUGAAACCCUGUCUCUACUAAAAAUACAAAAAAAUUAGCCAGGCGUGGUGGUGGGUGCCUGUAGUCCCAUCUACUCAGGAGGCUGAGGCAGGAGAAUGGCGUGAACCUGGGAGGCGGAGCUUGCAGUGAGCGGAGAUCGUGCCACUGCAGUCUAACCUGGUUGACAGAGUGAGACUCCGUCUCCAAAAAAUAAAAAUAAAAAUUAGCCAGUUGUAGGGCCAGACGCAGAAGCUCAUGCCUGAAAUCCCAGCACUUUGGGAGGCUGAGAUGGGCAGGUCAUGAGGUCAGGAGAUGGAGACCAACCUGGCUAACAUGGUAAAACCCUGUCUCUAGUAAAAAUACAAAAAAUUAGCUGGGCAUGGUGGCGGGUGCCUGUAGUCCCAGCUACUUGGGAGGCUGAGGCAGGAGAAUCGCUUGAACCCAGGAGCCAGAGGUUGCAGUGAGCCGAGAUUGUGACACUGCACUCCAGCCUGGGCAACAGAGAGAGACUCCAUCUCAAAAAAGAAAAAGAAAUUAGCCAGUUGUGUGGUGGCAGGCGCCUGUAAUCCCAGCUACUCAGGAAGCUGAGGCAGGAGAAUAGCUUGAACCCAGGAGGCGGAGGUUACAGUGAGCUGAGAUCACACCAUUGCACUACAGCCUGGGCGAUAAGAGGGAGACUGCAUCUCAAAAAAAAAAAAAAAAAAAAAGAACUUGCAUAGGAAGGCACAGGAUGAAAUUGUUGUUGUUGUUUUUCUAUCUGAGAUAUAAGCAGCUGGAAGGCAGGAAGCCUGCCUUAUGUUUCUGUUUGGCCUGUGCAGGGCAGGGCCUAUAACUGUGCAGUGUCUAUACCUGGGCCUUUACAUACUUGUUGGUCGGCUCAGGCAUCAGCCAAAGCUCUUACAGAUCUAAGUAGCAGACACGGACUCUUGGUGACAAACCAAAAAAUAAAAUUUUUGGAAACGUAUGGAGUAACUCAUAGAAAGGAUGAAAAAGCUCCACCACCAGGCCUCCAGAUAGCACAUAGCACCAGGAAGCAAGAAGGAAGGGACAGUCCCUGGGGCACUGCCAACCCAUUGAUUACCUUCAACAAUCCUUCAUCCUUAUAGUACUGCACUCAUGACUCAAAGUCCCAGCUUGGACAGUUACAGGCUCUGUCACUUGGACAAGUCACUUAACCUCUGUACUGGGGUGUCCUCGUUGACAGAAUAGAGCUAAAAAUAAAGCCCACUUCCUUAACUGGCAAUGGGAGGGUUGGAUGCUCAGUACAUGAAGAUCCUUAGAAAGGGGGCCAGCACCUAGCAAGCACUUCAUAAAUAUCAGCUACUAAAAAAUACCAGGAGAGAAAGCCCAAUGGGCUCAGCCGAGGACAUGUAUUCCCUCUGGGGGUGGGUGAGGCCAGUGGAGGCUCUUAACUGACAGUCCCACAGAGACCCACAUGCAGCAGUAUCUUCAAGGAGCAGCUCUCCAAGAAACACAGAAGUACACUGACAGAAGAAGGGGGAAAGGAUACUGGGCAGGCAAGAACAUAAGUGCCCAUGAUGACUUCUCAGCUCCCCAGGACAGAAAAAGGGUCCGACUCCAACAUCUACAGGUUUGAUCUAGGGCAGUGGCUGGGAAGAAGGAAGAAGAUUGAGAGGCAUGUCUAACAACGUCCAAGCAAUCUCCCUACCAAAGCAGCCCAUGACCCUUGAAAGAUAUUGCUUCAGAAGAAAGUCAGAUGGCAAAAGGUCGUCCCGCUCCCAUGCAAUCAUUCAUUGCCCCCUCUCCUGCCACUGGCAAACCGUGAUUAAUUCCUGUGGCAGCCGCAGAAAUCAUUCCUAAUGAAUUUCUAAUGAACUCAUUUGGUGUUAAUGCGGUGUGUAAUUCUGCAGGACACUCGUUGUAAUUUAGCCUUAUUAAAUCUCUAGUUAUUGGGAACUACUAUUGCUCUAAGCUCAUAAGCAGGAGAAAAGUAAUUAUGCAGAGCAAGCGGUUAAAUUAUGAAAAGGAUUGGACAUUCUGAGAAGGCUGAGACGUGGCUGCUCCUGUGUUUUCUCCCUGGGGUGCACUGCUCUACAAAGGUGAGCAGGCUGUGCAGGUCUUCGAGCUGAGGCAAGAAUGCCCACCUUGACUUCUGUUCUGCAGUGUUAGAGCUGUGCAGGCUGCCCCUGUGUUCUGGUAUUUUUAAGGGCCAACCAAAGGUGGCCUUGUCCCCACAUGAUCUACCCCACUUGCCCACUGCUUGGGCCUGAAUUUCCACCAUAGGGAUAGAUUCCUUCAUGUUUGAGGUGCUGUUCCAGGUUGAAAGGUAACUUGUACCACAGUUCAGAGAGCAGUCACUGAUAGGUUAUCUCAUCUGAUGAUCACAGCUUCUCAAUUAUUGUCAUUAAAACCCUUUGACAGAUAAGGAGAUUAAAGUUCACAGAGGUGAAGCCACUGGGCUCCCAAGGUCAUCACUGGGUGCCAGAACUAGGAACAGAGCCCAUAUCUCCUGGUAACCAGGUGAAUUCUCUUUCCAGCUUACCUGUCAUUCAUUGCCUGCUGUGUUUUUCAUGCAUAUGUGACUCAUGCUUCCACCUAGAUCACAUGUUUCUUGAGGUCAGAGCCCUUUCUGUGAUCUGCUUUACCUGUUUGACUUGCCUUGGUACAGAGAAUGGAGCUGCAAGACUCCCCUGGUCAGAUCACGUCGGGUCUCCUGAAGACACCAGGAGGAUUCUACUGUGCACAGGUUGAUUGUAUGUCUCCUUUUCCCACUUCUUCCUGAAAUUUUCUUAUUAUACUUUUGAUUAAAAUGUAUGUCUUAGGUUGCUUUCUGUUGCUACAGCUGAAUACCUGAGACUGUAUAUAUAGACAUAGAAAAGGGCUGGACGCAGUGGCUCAUGCCUGUACUCCCAGCACUUUGAGAGGCCAAGGCUGGGGAAUCACUUCCGGCCAGGAGUUUAAGACCAGCCUAGGCAACAUAGUGAGACCCCCGUCUCUAAAAAUAAAAGAAAAGGAAAAAAAGACAAAAAAGACGAUGAUUUAUUGCAGUUUUGGAGACUGGGAAGUCCAAGGUCUAGGGGGCACAACUGGUGAGAGGCUUCUUGCUGGUGGGGACUCUCUGUAGAAUACCAAGACGGUACAGAGCAUCACAUGGCAAGGGGAGCUCACUGAGAGCCAAACUGGCUUUAUUUAUUUAUUUUAAUUUUUUGAGACAGGGUCUCACUUUGUCACCCAGGCUGGAGUGCAUGGGGCAAUCACUGUUCACUGAACCCUCAACCUCCCAGGCUCAAAUAAUCCUCCUGCCUCAGUCCCCCAAGUAGCUAGGAAUACAGGUGUGGGCCACCACACCCGACUAAUUUUUGUUUUUUUAUUUUUUUGUGGAGAGAGAUUUCACCAUGUUGCCCAGGCUGGUCUCAAACUCCUGGGCUCAAGUGAUUUGCCUGCCUUGGCCUCCCAAGGUUCUGGGAUUAUAGGCAUGAGCCACCACACCAGACCUUUAUUUAUUUCUGAGAAAGGGUCUUGCUCUGUUGCCCAGAUCAGAGUGCAGUGAUGCAAAGAUGGCUCACUGCAGCCUCAGCCUCUGGAGUAGCUGGGACAACAGGUGUGAGCCACCACACUUGACUAAUUCUUUUUUUUUUAGAAAUGGGGUCUCCCUGCUGGGUGCAGUGGCUCACGCCUGUAAUCGCAGUACUCUGGGAGGCCGAGGCAGGCAAAUCACAAGGUCAGGAGUUCGAGACCAGCCUGGCCAACAUGGUGAAACCCCG